AUGAACGCUAGCGACAGGCUUAACACAUGCAAGUCGAGGGGUAACAGGGUAGCAAUACCGCUGACGACCGGCGCACGGGUGAGUAACGCGUAUGCAACCUGCCUAGUAACUGGGGGAAUAGCUCCCUGAAAGGGGAAUUAACACCGCAUAACACUAUUGAUUCGCAUGGAUUGGUAGUUAAAUGUAGCGAUACAGGUUAUAGAUGGGCAUGCGUGACAUUAGCUAGUUGGUGAGGUAACGGCUCACCAAGGCUACGAUGUCUAGGGGUUCUGAGAGGAAGGUCCCCCACACUGGUACUGAGACACGGACCAGACUCCUACGGGAGGCAGCAGUGAGGAAUAUUGGUCAAUGGGCGCAAGCCUGAACCAGCCAUGUCGCGUGCAGGAAGAACCUGCCCUAUGGGUUGUAAACUGCUUUUAUAGUAGAAGAAACACAUCUACGUGUAGAUGUCUGCCAGUAUACUAUGAAUAAGCAUCGGCUAACUCCGUGCCAGCCGCCGC
rnacentral:rRNA from 1 species